rnacentral:tRNA from 1 species
GGCGCCAUAGCUCAGCUGGAUAGAGCAGGAGACUUCUAAGCUCAAGGUCGCAGGUUCGAAUCCUGCUGGCGCUACCA